AUUGAACGCUGGCGGCAUGCUUUACACAUGCAAGUCGAACGGCAGCGCGGGCUUCGGCCUGGCGGCGAGUGGCGAACGGGUGAGUAAUACAUCGGAACGUGCCCAGUAGUGGGGGAUAGCUCGUCGAAAGCCGGAUUAAUACCGCAUACGACCUGAGGGUGAAAGCGGGGGAUCUUCGGACCUCUCGCUAUUGUAGCGGCCGAUGGCAGAUUAGCUAGUUGGUGGGGUAAAGGCCUACCAAGGCGACGAUCUGUAGCUGGUCUGAGAGGACGACCAGCCACACUGGGACUGAGACACGGCCCAGACUCCUACGGGAGGCAGCAGUGGGGAAUGUUGGACAAUGGGCGAAAGCCUGAUCCAGCAAUGCCGCGUGUGUGAUGAAGGCCUUCGGGUUGUAAAGCACUUUUGGCGGGAACGAAAAGGACUGUGCCAAUACCACGGUUCGAUGACGGUACCAGCAGAAUAAGCACCGGCUAACUACGUG
rnacentral:rRNA from 1 species